GCGGCAGCCAUUGUUGCCGGCGAGGUUGUUUCAGUCAAGACCUCUCUCUCUCUCUCUCUCUCUCUCGCUCUCGCGGGCGCGCGGAGCUGAACGAUGUCUUCUCCUUCUUCUUCUUCUCCGAUCGAAGACUCUCAGUCUCAGCAAUGAAGCGACUUUGGAGGAUCUCCGACGUAGCCCGCCCAUGCCGCGUCCACCGUAACGACCCCAUCCCCCUCCUCCCGCACAUCUUCACCCUCACCGGCCCAACAAACCACACUUUCAACCCUGACCCCUCUCCUUCUCCUUCCUCUUCAACUCCCACCUCUUCUUCUCCUCCUCCUCCUUCCCCAACUACACUGCAGAGCUUCAUCGGGCUCUUCAUCGACAAGUUCGCCAAAGUCCAGACUGAUUACUGGGCCAUCCACGACAAAGUCUCGGACUUGAGGGACUGCCUGGUGCAAGCUAUCGGCGACCCUGAGCAGAUUUCCGGAGUCUUAGAGAAAAAAGGUAAGGCUCUCUUGAGGAGAUCCCCUGAUGGAGACGCCUUCAUUGAGUUGCUGACGCAGCUGCAUCCUUGGCCUCGUCUAGCUCUUGAGGUAUUCACUUGGAGAAGGGAACUGGCUGAGAGUGGUAUUGCCUUGACAUCGGAGGAGUAUGCUAAGGGUAUCAAGGUUGCUGGUAGAGCUAAGGAUGUUUCUCUAGCAGUUGAGCUAUUUAAUGAGGCUGCAGCGAAGCGAUUGAAGACAACUGCGACCUAUAAUGCACUAAUGACUGGUUAUAUGAGCAACGGGCUCCCCAGCGAUUGCCAGAAGACAUUCCGGGACUUGAAGAGAGAUCCAAGUUGCACUCCCACAAUUGUGACAUAUAACAUUCUCAUAUCGGUAUUUGGCCGUAUGAUGUUAGUGGGUCACAUGGAGACAACUUUCCAGGAGAUAGAAAUUUUGAAUCUGUCCCCAAACUUAGGCACGUAUAAUAAUUUAAUUGCCGGGUAUCUUACUGCAUGGAUAUGGGAUAGUAUGGAAAGAACCUUCUUAAAAAUGAAGGCUAGCUCUGUUAAGCCUGACAUUGAAACAUACUCAUUACUGCUUAGGGGUUACGCUCAUUGUGGUAAUUUGAAGAAGAUGGAAGAAAUGUAUGAAUUGGUUAGGCAUCACGAUACAGAAAAGAUAGUCCCCUUGAUCAGGGCCAUGAUAUGUGCAUAUUGCAAGAGCUCCAGCAGCGAUAGAAUCAGGAAGAUUCAGGCUCUGGUGGGGCUUAUCCCGGAUAAUCAAUAUCGGCCUUGGCUAAAUGUGUUGCUGAUUCGUUUGUAUGCACAGGAGGACUGGUUGGAGGAGAUGGAGAACUAUAUAAACGAGGCAUUUGAGCACAAUACUGCCGUGCACGCGGCGGGCAUAAUGAGGUCAAUUAUCGCGAGUUAUUUUCGUUGCAAUGCUGUGGAUAGACUCGCAAGGUUUGUAAGACGGGCUGAAUCUGCUGAAUGGAGGAUCUGCAGGUCCCUCUACCAUUGCCUGAUGGUGAUGUAUGCCUUAGAGAAUCGCUUGGAGGAGAUGGAGAGUGUUCUUGAUGAUAUGGAGAAGUUCCACUUGAAUUGCACAAAAAAGACAUUUUUUAUAUUGUACAAUGCUUACUCCACUCGCGGUCAGAAGCAUAAGGUCAAGCGACUUUUGGGAUUAAUGUGCAAGCGCGGGUACGGGUUUCCUGUUGGGGCAGUGGCAUCAUGACACAAUUUGCUCAGUUUCCCUGUUUGUUUCUGCCCUAAAUUCAAGUCCAUUGAGCAAGAUUCUACCUGAUCAUUGUACUCGGUCCAACUAAUCUCUGAGACGGAAUUUGCCAUCCUAGCCAUAUUGAGAACUUUCCAUGUCAUUUCAUGGACCGUAAUCAAACUAAGCUUGAUGAGAACUUAUUGGGGCACGAUGUCAUAUGCUAUUUGUACAAAAUCCUCAGCGCAACCCUAGGAGAAAAGGAUGACUCGCAUUAUGUUCCAAAUAACCUCACAUUCUUAAACAUUCCAGAGUUCCAGAGGUGCUGCCAUCGCUCGGCAUACAUAUGGAUUCAAAGUGACAUAACAGCAGCAGCUUGAGAUCCGUCUAAGAUGUUUCAGGUUUGGUGUAAAAUAAAUCUGUUAUAAGGACAGAUUCCAAUUUCGUCAAUUUCCUCAUCUAUUAGCUCGGGUUUGAGCUCGUUUAGUUUUGGUAGAAGUAUAAUCAUAGCUUAUAUAAUAUUUGAUGUUUCAUGAAAAAAGAAUAAUGGGAAAAGUUGUUUGGGUUCUUCGAGCUGUUUGAAUCGCAACCUCUACGAAGUUACAAUUUGCGCCGUCAAAUCAAUAAGAAGCGUUGUUGGUCUCUGCA